rnacentral:lncRNA from 1 species
AAUCUGAACUAAAAAGGUUCUGUUGCAUUGGCUUGGGAUGUACAUGUAGGACGUCAGUCCAGGUUCUGGAAUUCAUUUCUCUCUCUCUCUUUUUCAGCUAUUUUUACCCUGGAUGUGUUCUGCAAUUUGUUUCCCACACAGCAUUGAAACUGGCACAGCUGAGGGGAGCCAGAAGAGCCAGCCCAGCUCCCAGCUCCUCCAGGAACCUCGCGGGACUGGCAAGAAAAGGAAAAAAACCACCCCGAAUGUGUUGGUCCCAGAAGAGUAGUUUUCAGCACGUGACCUGCGGCAGCGCUGCCUGGCCUGUUUCCCAGCCCUCGGUGAAAGGUAAGUGAGAGAGGAAGCUUGUUGUCAGCAGGCACAGGGCCAAGGGAUCAGCCCUGUGACUGGGAGAUGGCUCCAUGGGUGGGAGAAAAAAAUACGAAUGCCAGUAGGGACCCCUCCCACCCAGAAACACGGGUAACCACCUCAUGGAGGUGAGGUUGCUUCAGAGGGGACCACCCUUCGCUUUGCUGUUGGUUUUUUUGUUGUAUGAAUCUGAGAUAAACUCCUGUGUUGGUUUCUUCUUGGCCAACUAGGGGUUGAAAUAAAGGACUGGCAGAGAACCA